rnacentral:rRNA from 1 species
GGGUUGUGAGGUUAAGCGACUAAGCGUACACGGUGGAUGCCCUGGCAGUCAGAGGCGAUGAAGGACGUGCUAAUCUGCGAAAAGCGUCGGUAAGGUGAUAUGAACCGUUAUAACCGGCGAUGUCCGAAUGGGGAAACCCAGUGUGAUUCGUCACACUAUCGUUAACUGAAUACAUAGGUUAACGAGGCGAACCGGGGGAACUGAAACAUCUAAGUACCCCGAGGAAAAGAAAUCAACCGAGAUUCCCCCAGUAGCGGCGAGCGAACGGGGAGCAGCCCAGAGUCUGAAUCAGCUUGUGUGUUAGUGGAACGGUCUGGAAAGUCCGACGGUACAGGGUGAUAGUCCCGUACACCAAAAUGCACAGGCUGUGAACUCGAAGAGUAGGGCGGGACACGUGGUAUCCUGUCUGAAUAUGGGGGGACCAUCCUCCAAGGCUAAAUACUCCUGACUGAC